CAGCAGGAUGAAGGUCAAGCUAAAGACUUUACCCGACGAGCUGAGAGGAGGUGCAUGGCCGUCGCCAGCUCGUGCCGUGAGGUGUCCUGUUAAGUCAGGCAACGAGCGAGACCCUCGCCGCUAGUUGCUGUCCUCUCCCGCAAGGGAGAGGAAGGUAGUUAGCGGGACUGCCGCCGUUCAAGGCGGAGGAAGGAGAGGGCUACGGCAGGUCAGUAUGCCCCGAAACCCCUGGGCCACACGCGGGCUGCAAUGGUAGGGACAGAGGGUGUCCAACUCCGAAAGGAGGAGGUAAACCCUAAACCCUACCCCAGUUGUGAUUGAGGGUUGCAACCCACCCUCAUGAAUAUGGAAUCCCUAGUAACCGCGUGUCACCAUCGCGCGGUGAAUACGUCCCUGCUCCUUGUACACACC
rnacentral:rRNA from 1 species